CUGUAUGGGAGGGCCAUCGCUCAAAGGAUAAAAGGUACUCUGGGGAUAACAGGCUGAUCUCCCCCAAGAGCUCAUAUCGACGGGGAGGUUUGGCACCUCGAUGUCGGCUCGUCACAUCCUGGGGCUGGAGAAGGUCCCAAGGGUUGGGCUGUUCGCCCAUUAAAGUGGCACGCGAGCUGGGUUCAGAACGUCGCGAGACAGUUCGGUCCCUAUCUGCUGUGGGCGCAGGAAGUCUGCGCGGGUCUGUCCUUAGUACGAGAGGACCGGGAUGGACAUACCUCUGGUUUGCCAGUUAUGCCGCCAGGUGUACCGCUGGGUAGCUACGUUUGGCCGGGAUAAGCGCUGAAAGCAUCUAAGCGCGAAACCCGCCGCAAGAUUAGACUUCCAUUAUAGGGUUGUAGUAGACCACUACGUUGAUAGGCUGCAGGUGUAGAGGUAGAGAUACCACAGCCGAGCAGUACUAAUUUCCCGAAUUCAUAUUUU
rnacentral:rRNA from 1 species